GACGAACGCUGGCGGCGUGCUUAACACAUGCAAGUCGAACGGAAAGGCCCUGCUUUUGUGGGGAGCUCGAGUGGCGAACGGGUGAGUAACACGUGAGUAACCUGCCCUUGACUUUGGGAUAACUUCAGGAAACUGGGGCUAAUACCGGAUAGGAGCUCCUGCUGCAUGGUGGGGGUUGGAAAGUUUCGGCGGUUGGGGAUGGACUCGCGGCUUAUCAGCUUGUUGGUGGGGUAGUGGCUUACCAAGGCUUUGACGGGUAGCCGGCCUGAGAGGGUGACCGGCCACAUUGGGACUGAGAUACGGCCCAGACUCCUACGGGAGGCAGCAGUGGGGAAUAUUGCACAAUGGGCGGAAGCCUGAUGCAGCAACGCCGCGUGCGGGAUGACGGCCUUCGGGUUGGAAACCGCUUUCGCCUGUGACGAAGCGUGAGUGACGGUAAUGGGUAAAGAAGCACCGGCUACUACGUG
rnacentral:rRNA from 1 species